GUGGGCAACCUGCCUGUAAGACUGGGAUAACUUCGGGAAACCGGAGCUAAUACCGGAUAAUCCUUUUCUACUCAUGUAGAAAAGCUGAAAGACGGUUUACGCUGUCACUUACAGAUGGGCCCGCGGCGCAUUAGCUAGUUGGUGAGGUAACGGCUCACCAAGGCGACGAUGCGUAGCCGACCUGAGAGGGUGAUCGGCCACACUGGGACUGAGACACGGCCCAGACUCCUACGGGAGGCAGCAGUAGGGAAUCUUCCGCAAUGGACGAAAGUCUGACGGAGCAACGCCGCGUGAGUGAUGAAGGUUUUCGGAUCGUAAAACUCUGUUGUUAGGGAAGAACAAGUACGAGAGUAACUGCUCGUACCUUGACGGUACCUAACCAGAAAGCCACGGCUAACUACGUGCCAGCAGCCGCGGUAAUACGUAGGUGGCAAGCGUUGUCCGGAAUUAUUGGGCGUAAAGCGCGCGCAGGCGGUCCUUUAAGUCUGAUGUGAAAGCCCACGGCUCAAC
rnacentral:rRNA from 2 species